rnacentral:lncRNA from 1 species
UUUCCCUCUAAGCACUGCUUUCAGUGCAUCUCAAAAAUUUUGAUAUGUUGUGUUAUCAUGUUGUUAAAAAUAUUUUAUAAUUUCCCUGGUGAUUUCUUCUUUGGUGAUAGUUAUUUAGAAGUAUAUUAUUUAAUUUCCAAAUAACUUGACAUUUUCCAAAUGUUUUCUUUUAUUCAUUUCUAAUUUCCAUUGUGAUAAGAGAACAUAUCCUCUAUAAUUUUAUCUAUUUGAAAUUUAUUGAGACUUGUUUUAUGGCUCAGCAUGUGGUUUAUCUUGGUGAAUAUUUAAUGCACCUGAAAAGAAUGUGAGGUCUUCUUUAAGUAUCAACUACAUAAAGCUGAUUAAUAGUUAUCCAGGUCUUCUCUAUCCUUUUUUAUUAGAUAAACUUGAGACUUUAUUAAGAUUUUUUUAUCAAUAAUUACUUUUUUAACAUUUAUUAUUUUUUUUAUUACUCAGUGAAAUUAUUGCAUUUAAGGUCUUCUCUAUCCUUAUUGAUUUUUUUAUCUACUUGUUCUGAAUUUCUGAGAGGAAUGAUGAGAUAUUUGACUCUAAUUAUAGACUUGUCUGUUUCUCCUAUCAAUUUUUGUUUCAUGCCUUGUGAAACUGUUAUUGGAGAUACAUAUAUAUAUAUAUAUUUAGGUACAUAUGUAUAUAUUUAGGUUUGUUAGUUCCUAGUAAAUUUAUCUCUUUGUCCUCUUAUUUAUUUUUUUAUGGCCACACCCAUGGCAUAUGGAAGUUUCCCAGGCCAGGGUCAAACCCACACCAUAGCAGCUACCUGAGCUGCUGCAGUGACAAUACGGGAUCCUUAACCCACUGCACCACCCAGAAACUCCAGUGUAUGUAUUUAAAAAUUUUACCUACAGCGUUCCUAUUGUGGCAUAGCUGUAACGAACCCAGUUAGUAUCCAUAAGGAUGUGGGUUCGAUCCCUGGCCUUGCUCAGUGGGUUGGAGAUCCUGUGUUGCUGUGGCUGUGGCUUAGGCUGGCAGCUGCAGCUCCGAUUAGAUGCCUAGGCUGGGAACCUCCGUAUCCUGCUGGUUCAGCCCUAAAAAGGAAAAAAAAAUUACUUAACAUAUUUACAAUUUUUAGUAAUCUUAUUUUUGUAUAGAUGUAGGUUUAUAGCUUUUAUUAUAUUUGGAAAGUGGCCCACCCUUUUUUCUUCAAAUAUGUAUCUUUACCUUAGGAAGUAAAGAGAUAUGUCUAAGACAGCCCUGAUCACAUGUCCACAACUCUGAUUAGACUACUUUUAGAGCUGGUAAUGAGUCUUCCAAUAUGUGGUAUAUUUUGUAUAUAAUUGCUUCUCAGCGAAUAUUUGUAGAGCCAUACAUAGAUAUUUCUUUAACACUCUUUAUUUUAAAGUUUAUUUACUUAAGGGGUUCCCAUCGUGGCUCAGUGGUUAGCGAAGCCGACUAGCAUCCAUGAGGACGUGGGUUCGAUUCCUGGCCUUGCUCAGUGGGUUAAGGAUCUGGUAUUGCCAUGAGCUGUGGUGUAGGUUGCAGAUGCAGCUCAGAUCCUGUGUUGCUGUGGUUCUGGCGUAGGCUGGCGGCUACAGUUCUGUUUGGACCCUUAACCUGGAAACUUCCAUAUGCCGCAGAUGCGGCCCUAAAAGGCAAAAAGACAAAUAAGUAAAUAAAUGAAAAUAAAAGUUAUUUAUUUAAAAAGGAAAUACAUGCUCAUGGUAAAUAAUUCAAACUAACUAAAACGUAUAUACUGUGAAAAAUAAGUCCUUUAUUUUUUUCAACAGAGUUACCAAUGCCCUACUCCUCCUAAGGAAACCACAUUUUUAUCCUCCCAGAAAUUUCUGGGCAUGUUCAAGCAUGUUCAACGAAUAUAUGGAUAUAUAUUCUUUUAAAAUUCCUUUACCCAAGUGCUAGCAUAUUAUAUAUACUGUUUGGCAUCUUGUUUUAACUUCACAGGUCUUGGUAACCGUUCCAUAAUCAGCAUAUAUAAAACUACUUUAUUCUUUCAUUGUCUGCAGAAUGUUACAGCAUAUGGGUUAUGGUUAUGGUUAAGGCUAGGGUUUAUAUCAUAAUUUAACUGGUGCCCUGUUGAUGGACAUUAAGUUGCCUCCAGUCUUUUGUUACUGCAAACAGUGUUGCAGUGAAUAUUCUACUUAUUUAACGCUAUAACUUAGGACAUAAGUCAGGUUCUCUAGCACAAGGGGCCAUGCUGAUGUUCUCUGUGUCAUUUAAAUUUUUGCUUUAUGCUGUGAACAUUUGUUUGAAUGUUUAAAAUCUGGCCUUGGAGUUCCCAUUGUGACUCAGGGGAAACGAACCUGACUAGUAUCCAUGAGGAUGCGGGUUCCAUCCCUGGCAGGUUCCAUCCCUGGCACCGAUGUUGCUAUGGCAUAGGCUUGAAGCUACAGCUUGGAUCCGACCCCUAGCCUGGGAAUUUCCAUAUACUGCAGAUU